rnacentral:rRNA from 1 species
UACGUAGGUGGCAAGCGUUGUCCGGAUUUACUGGGCGUAAAGAGCGCGCAGGCGGUCGUUCAAGUCGCGUGUGAAAGCCCCCGGCUCAACUGGGGAGGGUCACGCGAUACUGAUCGACUCGAAGGCAGGAGAGGGUAGCGGAAUUCCCAGUGUAGCGGUGAAAUGCGUAGGAUAACUGGGAGGAACACCAGUGGCGAAGGGCGGCUACCCUGGACCGGUACUGACGCUGAGGCGCGGACAGCGUGGGGAGCAAACGAGG